GAAUUUUUUUCUCUCUUUCAUUUUUCUUUUUUUCUUUUGCUCUCUCUCUCUCCCCCCUUCCCAUUCUACAACGAGGGUUUUUCUAAUAGCAUAGAAAAUCUGAGAAGAGAGGAUGUCCCAACAUAAGCACAGCCAGGGUGGUGCCAGGCAGUGGUGUCACGGUCGGAGUGGUCAGGUGAUGGAGGCAUGGUCGGUGGCUCGGUCAUACACAGAAAAGCCAAGAGAGAGGGAGGAAGAGGCCUUGCCCCUUGCCGCCUUCGUGGCAGCACCCAAGACCAAAAAGAGAAACAAGGGGAGGAGGA
rnacentral:lncRNA from 1 species